rnacentral:rRNA from 1 species
CCCCGCCCGCGCCUCCACCUCCCGCAUCCCCCGCCACGGCGGCGCCGGCGACCUCGGCGCCGGGCCCGACCACCAGCCCCGCCUCACCAGGCAGCACCGCCUGCGCCAUGUCGACGACAUCGAGGUCGGGGUCUCCGCGCUCCGCCUCGACGACUCGCACGCCGCCCCGCCCUCCUCCUCCUCCUACCCCGCCAGGAGGGACGCGGUCUGGUCCGGCCUCGCCACCGCCAGCUCCACGCCGAUCUCGAGGUCGCCGAGUAACAUGAUGGAGGCGGCGCCGGCCAGGUCGUCCUCCACGCCCAUGCUGCUGCCUCACCCCCUGCCGCUGCCCCACCAGGACGACUCGCCGUGCCGAGGGCCUGGGAGGCCGCUCCCCUCCCCGAGGAUGUUCGACGGGGAUUGCAACGGAUCGGCCGAGUUCCUAGUGGCUGCAGAGACUGGAGGCGAGAGGCCGUCCACGUUUCCAAGAUUUAUGCCCCAAAGUGUUCAAAAGAUUCAUGAGCACAAUGACUUACGGUCAGCUGGCACACAUGGGGCCACCUGUGGCCAACGGAGAAAGACAUAUAAAGAGAAGUUCCAGGAUGGCCCAACUGAAACUUUGAACUUUAGGUUGAAUAUUCCUGCUAAAAGUGCCCCGAGCAGCGGGUUUUCAAGUCCUGUACAGAGUCCUCGAAGGUUGAGUAAUGUAGACUUCUCAUCUGCUGCAAUAUCCAUCCAAGGUAGCAAUAUAUUGUCAGCACCAUCACCAUGGUCUUCAGAUCAAUCAGGAUCUUCACCCCCUUCCACCUCACCUGAAAAAUUUGUGGGUGGCCAGGAGCGAUCUCCUCGGUCUAGUCCUUUGAGAAGUCCUGCUCUUAGAUCAAGAUACCCAAGUGCACCUCCAUCACCAAUGCAUGCAAACUUCUUCCCAGAGAACCACACUUCUCGUUCUGAGAGCAUUCCGAAUGCCAAUCUUCACCCAUUACCUCUUCCUCCUGUUUCAAUGAGCCCAAAGCAAACAAAUUUUAGCCACCCAUCAGUUCCAAAAGUUGAAACGCCCUCAAUGGCUGGUCAGUGGCAAAAAAGGAAGCUCAUCGGCAGUGGCACAUAUGGCUGUGUAUAUGAAGCUACCAAUAGGCACACCGGAGCUCUUUGUGCCAUGAAAGAGGUUAACAUAAUUCCUGAUGACGCAAAAUCAGUUGAGUCUCUGAAGCAAUUGGAACAGGAAAUUAAAUUCCUUAGCCAAUUUAAGCAUGAAAACAUAGUGCAGUACUACGGCAGUGAAACUACUGAAGAUAGAUUCUACAUAUACCUGGAAUAUGUUCAUCCGGGUUCAAUUAAUAAGUACAUUAGUCAACAUUGUGGUGCAAUGACAGAAUCAGUUGUCCGCAACUUCACUCGCCAUAUCCUUAACGGUCUUGCUUUCCUACAUAGCCAAAAAAUUAUGCAUAGGGACAUUAAAGGAGCAAAUUUGCUUGUUGAUGUCAAUGGCGUGGUUAAAUUGGCAGACUUUGGAAUGGCUAAGCAUUUGAGCACUGCAGCUCCAAAUCUUUCACUGAAAGGAACACCAUACUGGAUGGCCCCUGAGGUUGUCCAGGCUACACUUGUCAAAGAUGUAGGCUACGAUCUUGCCGUUGAUAUCUGGAGCCUCGGUUGCACAAUUAUUGAGAUGUUCACCGGCAAGCCUCCUUGGAGUGGUCUUGAAGGGCCUGCUGCAAUGUUUAAGGUGUUGAAUAAAGACCCACCAAUUCCAGAUAAUUUAUCAUCAGAAGGGAAGGAUUUUCUGAAAGGCUGCUUCAAGAGAACCCCGUCUGAGAGACCUACAGCAAGCAAGCUGCUGGAACACCCAUUCAUCCAAAAUUCAAAUCACUUCAGCCAGCACGUUUCUGUACAUUCUCCUGCAGGAAAUAAAUCCCCAGAUGCUGGACACUGUUCAAGAGAAAAGAAGUCCUGGAAGACCGAGCCUUGUGUGAGAGGGAAACAGGCAAAUACAAAUGGUGAAACAAGCAGCUCUAGAUGUUCUGGGUCAUUGGGUCAUCAUCGUUUGACGGCUCCAACCUCCUUGGAUACCCAUAGCUUGUCCCCUCCACCGACGAGUUAUAAGUCUAGUUCUGGUUCUUCAGCUCAUAAUACACCGAACGGCAUGCAUUUUUCAAUCGCAUACCCUCAGCCCAGUCCACUACCGAGGCCUAACGGAAAGGAAUCAUUAAACAUGUUUUCGUAUUGA